AGAGUUUGAUCCUGGCUCAGAGCGAACGCUGGCGGCAGGCUUAACACAUGCAAGUCGAGCGGGCGUAGCAAUACGUCAGCGGCAGACGGGUGAGUAACGCGUGGGAACGUACCUUUUGGUUCGGAACAACACAGGGAAACUUGUGCUAAUACCGGAUAAGCCCUUACGGGGAAAGAUUUAUCGCCGAAAGAUCGGCCCGCGUCUGAUUAGCUAGUUGGUGAGGUAAUGGCUCACCAAGGCGACGAUCAGUAGCUGGUCUGAGAGGAUGAUCAGCCACAUUGGGACUGAGACACGGCCCAAACUCCUACGGGAGGCAGCAGUGGGGAAUAUUGGACAAUGGGGGCAACCCUGAUCCAGCCAUGCCGCGUGAGUGAUGAAGGCCCUAGGGUUGUAAAGCUCUUUUGUGCGGGAAGAUAAUGACGGUACCGCAAGAAUAAGCCCCGGCUAACUUCGUGCCAGCAGCCGCGGUAAUACGAAGGGGGCUAGCGUUGCUCGGAAUCACUGGGCGUAAAGGGUGCGUAGGCGGGUUUUUAAGUCAGGGGUGAAAUCCUGGAGCUCAACUCCAGAACUGCCUUUGAUACUGAAGAUCUUGAGUCCGGGAGAGGUGAGUGGAACUGCGAGUGUAGAGGUGAAAUUCGUAGAUAUUCGCAAGAACACCAGUGGCGAAGGCGGCUCACUGGCCCGGUACUGACGCUGAGGCACGAAAGCGUGGGGAGCAAACAGGAUUAGAUACCCUGGUAGUCCACGCCGUAAACG
rnacentral:rRNA from 1 species